rnacentral:lncRNA from 1 species
CCCUCUAGAACAUGUCGAGUUUCUGCGCAUGCGUCCGUCCUUUGUCAGGGCCAAGCCCACUGGAUCCGAGCCACCGUGGGUGGUCUUGGUACUACUGGAAGCGGGACGAAGCUAUAGCUGGAAUAGAUUCUCUUUCUCAUGGGGUUCCCAUGCGCAUGCAAGAUCACGCACAUCGAUGACCCCUGCCAGACUUGGGAGGACUGGCAC